CAGAGGCUUGGCUUGGUGUUUUCCUUUCUUUUUGUACUGAGCACGAGUGAGGUGGUGGUAGUAGAAGGGGAAUAUGGGGAGAGAUAAGAAAGAUGUUUUAUUAGUAAAAUGGCUAUUCAUUUUAGAGUAGACUGCUUUAUUGUGGGAAGGAGUUUGAGCAGGUGCACUCGGAUAAUGGAGGCGUGUAGCUUAUUUGCGCGCUUAGAAGGAAAAUGUAAUGUUGAUAAUUGGUGCAGAAAUGUUUGCAGAUGGGUGUUGGAGUUAAUCAGACAAAUAUGCUAGAAUUUGACAAGCAGUGAAAAUGCGCACCAGACGAAAACCCCGAGAUUAGUGGCGUCCCAACGGUGUGGUCGCAACGGUAGCAUGGAUUAUUGCAAGAUGCGUUGCAUCAAAGGAAGCCGGAACUUUACGAAAGGGUUUUCAAUUAGAAAUCUUGUAAGCUGAAAGGGUUUUCAAUUAGAAAUCUUGUAAGCCGAAAGGUGUGUGAAGAAAGUGAUAUUUUCAAAUAUAAUUGACAAGGUGAUCUUGGCUUUUUAAUAAAGUUUUCUAUUU